rnacentral:lncRNA from 1 species
GGAUGAACCAUCACCAGACCAUGACUGGAAAAUGUGGGGACCAAGCACACAGAGAGGUGGCUGAUGCAGCUCAUUCCCUGACUGUCACUGGGCAGCUCUCUGUCAUGGCAUAAGUUACCAGAGGCGGGACAAACAUUGUGAGGACUGUUCCUGUUCUGGCUGCUCCUCAUCAGUGCUUUGAGUUGUGGGAAGCCCUGAGAACCGAGGCAACAUGAGUGCGUGAUCAGAACUGACAUUGUUUCAUCAUUUUCUCUCCAUUUUCUGGAUGAAGCAGCCAACAUGAGGAGGGCAUGCUGGCACACAUCCCACUUGGUAGGUGAAAAGAACAAACCGACAAACUUUUUUAAUAUGCUGCAGCUUAUCAACAUCCCAGUGAAUAAAGGGUGAAUGGUAUUUUCCAUUGGCUAUUCAUAGAUGUACAUGGAUAUGCUGAUAAACUGCCAUUUAGUCCAGAGGCUGGACAGAAAUAAAUCACCAGAUAAAAUACAAUAUUCCUAGUGAAAACCUUUAUGGAACGUAUUCUUGCCCCAAACCCCUCCUGGAAUAGACACAGGAUUGCGCCCUGAGACCUGGCAGCUCUUCUAAGUGAGCAUAUGGUCUGCUCAGCUCUUGCAGUACCGGUGCACAGUGAAUAAACACACAGCAAUGUCAGAGCAAACAGGAGGCUGUUUAAUAGCAUGAAAUUCUGUGGCUACUUCAAACUUCAUCAGUACUUCAGAAAUGGAUUCCCCUUCUCUGCCGGAGCGUGCACUGCUUGCAGGAGAGGUAGGAGAAAACUGAGAUAAUCUCUUUGGGGGCAGAUAGUGUCUGUAGCCAUCUCUUAUGAAGCUGAUGCUGCUGUGGAAGGGUCCUGCCAUGUCGGAAGUUGCAUUUUCUGGUGAUGCUACAUUAGCAUCUUCAUUUUUCUGAGAUGUCCCCUGAUGCAGUGUGACUUGUACAGUAAUUGGAAUAGAGAGAGGGACCCGAAGGUUCCUGAUGCUAAAGGUCUGACCUUAAAAGGAGGAGUGCAUAGGGCAAGAAUGGGUACCGCAGUGAGCUUCUGGCCUUCAACCCUUCCAAAUACAGCUAUUUUGGUAACCAGAACAGUAUAUUCAUGAUGGGUGAGAGAACAGAGCCUUCCAGUGACGGAUUUCUCAGCACAUUAACUCUAUCAGUGCUGGAUGCUGUGUCCCUAUGUAGGUUGCCCGUGUCUAUUUAAGACCCCCAAAUGCAGAUUUGCAGAAGUCUGCAGCUUUCUGUAACUUCAUGGCCACGCUUCAGUGCCUGCUGCAUCUGAAAACCGAACCAUUCUUCCUGGGGAUUUCCAUGUAGAUGUGGGGACAACUGCAAUCACAUGCCACUGUGAGUAGUUCAGACUUGGAUGUCUUGUCUGCAGGAGAGGCACAGCCGGGUUUGCUAUAGUGCAACUGUCCUCAUUAACGUUCUUCAAGCCCUGACGUACUGGGACAAACAUCAUUGGCUGAGUUUUUUGGG